rnacentral:rRNA from 1 species
GACGGAGGUCCCGAGCGUUGUUCGGAAUUAUUGGGCUUAAAGCGCGUGUAGGCGGAGCCGUAAGUACCUUGUGAAAUCCCCGGACUCAAUCCGGGAACUGCUUGGUAUACUGCGAUUCUCGAGGCAGGUAGAGGUCACUGGACCUUAGGUGGAGCGGUGAAAUGCGUAGAUAUCUAAGGGAACGCCUGUGGCGAAAGCGGGUGACUGGGCCUGUCCUGAGCGCUGAGACGCGAAAGCGUGGGGAGCGAACAGG